rnacentral:tRNA from 1 species
GUUUCCUUAGCUCAGUAGGAUAGAGCAAUCGCCUCCUAAGCGAUAGGUCAUCGGUUCGAUUCCGAUAGGAAACA